UGGGGCAUGGUGUAAUGGUAACACAGCAGAUUUUGGUUCUGUCUUUCAGGGUUCGAGUCCUUGUGACCCAACAA
rnacentral:tRNA from 1 species